GCGCCGGUAGCUCAGUUGGAAGAGCGGUGUUGUGGCGAAACACCAGGUCGAGGGUUCGAGUCCCUCCCGGCGCA
rnacentral:tRNA from 1 species